CGAGUUGCUAAGACUGGAUAGGAAAAGUAAAGGCAUCUUUACUUUUUUAAAAGACCUUCUUUGAAGGUAUGCUUAAGGAGGGGCUUGCGACACAUUAGUUAGUUGGCAGGGUAAAGGCCUACCAAGACUAUGAUGUGUAGCUGGACUGAGAGGUUGAACAGCCACAUUGGGACUGAGACACGGCCCAAACUCCUACGGGAGGCAGCAGUAGGGAAUUUUCGGCAAUGGAGGAAACUCUGACCGAGCAACGCCGCGUGAACGAUGAAGUACCUCGGUAUGUAAAGUUCUUUUAUUAAGGAAGAAAAAAGAGUGGAAAAACUCCCUUGACGGUACUUAAUGAAUAAGCCCCGGCUAAUUAUGUGCCAGCAGCCGCGGUAAUACAUAAGGGGCGAGCGUUAUCCGGAAUUAUUGGGCGUAAAGGGUGCGUAGGCGGUUUAAUAAGUCUAUAGUUUAAUUUCAGCGCUUAACGCUGUUGUGCUAUAGAAACUGUUUUACUAGAGUGAGUUAGAGGCAGGCGGAAUUCCAUGUGUAGCGGUAAAAUGCGUAAAUAUAUGGAGGAACACCAGAGGCGUAGGCGGCUUGCUGGGACUUUACUGACGCUGAGGCACGAAAGCGUGGGGAGCAAACAGGAUUAGAUACCCUGGUAGUCCACGCCGUAAACGAUGAGUACUAAGUGUCGGGUAAAACCGGUACUGAAGUUAACACAUUAAGUACUCCGCCUGAGUAGUACGUACGCAAGUAUGAAACUUAAAGGAAUUGACGGGACUCCGCACAAGCGGUGGAUCAUGUUGUUUAAUUCGAAGAUACACGAAAAACCUUACCAGGUCUUGACAUUUUCUUGCGAAGUUAUAGAAAUAUAAUGGAGGUUAUCAAGAAAACAGGUGGUGCAUGGUUGUCGUCAGCUCGUGUCGUGAGAUGUUAGGUUAAGUCCUAAAACGAGCGCAACCCUUGUCGUUAAUUGCCAGCAUGUAAUGAUGGGGACUUUAACGAGACUGCCAAUGAAAAAUUGGAGGAAGGUGGGGAUUACGUCAAAUCAUCAUGCCCCUUAUGAUCUGGGCUACAAACGUGAUACAAUGGUUGAUACAAAGAGUAGCUGAAACGCGAGUUCUUAGCCAAUCUCACAAAAUCAAUCUCAGUUCGGAUUGAAGUCUGCAACUCGACUUCAUGAAGUUGGAAUCGCUAGUAAUCGCGAAUCAGCAUGUCGCGGUGAAUACGUUCUCGGGGUUUGUACACACCGCCCGUCAAACCA
rnacentral:rRNA from 1 species